rnacentral:rRNA from 1 species
UACAGAGGUCCCAAGCGUUGUUCGGAUUCAUUGGGCGUAAAGGGUGCGUAGGCGGCGCGGUAAGUCGGGUGUGAAAUCUCGGAGCUUAACUCCGAAACUGCAUUCGAUACUGCCGUGCUUGAGGACUGGAGAGGAGACUGGAAUUUACGGUGUAGCGGUGAAAUGCGCAGAUAUCAGGAAGAACACCCGUGGCGAAGGCGGUUCUCUGGGACGGUACUGACGCUGAGACGCGAAAGCGUGGGGAGCGAACAGG